GCGGACGUGGUGAAACCGGUAGCCACAGCAGACUUAAAAUCUGCCGUCUUCUGACAUGCGGGUUCGAGUCCCGCCGUCCGCACCA
rnacentral:tRNA from 3 species